UACAGAGGGGGCAAGCGUUGUUCGGAAUUACUGGGCGUAAAGGGCGCGUAGGCGGCCUUCUAAGUCGAACGUGAAAUCCCCGGGCUCAACCCGGGAACUGCGUCCGAUACUGGAAGGCUUGAAUCCGGGAGAGGGAUGUGGAAUUCCAGGUGUAGCGGUGAAAUGCGCAGAUAUCGGGAAGAACACCUAUGGCGAAGGCAGCUCUCUGGGACGGUACUGACGCUGAGACGCGAAAGCGUGGGGAGCAAACAGG
rnacentral:rRNA from 1 species